rnacentral:rRNA from 1 species
GUGCCAGCAGCCGCGGUAAUACGAAGGUCCCGAGCGUUAUCCGGAUUUAUUGGGUUUAAAGGGUGCGUAGGCGGGUUAUUAAGUCAGUGGUGAAAGCCUUCAGCUCAACUGAAGAACUGCCAUUGAUACUGAUGAUCUUGAGUACGAUUGAGGUAGGCGGAAUGUGUCAUGUAGCGGUGAAAUGCUUAGAUAUGACACAGAACACCGAUUGCGAAGGCAGCUUACUAAGUCGUAACUGACGCUGAUGCACGAAAGCGUGGGGAGCAAACAGGAUUAGAUACCCUUGUAGUCC